UGUCUGUUGACACAACAAUUUGAAUUUGAACUGUAUUAUAUUCUGAAAGUACUUGUGGUUGAAAAAAUAUACACAAUAGUUUAUUCCAGGUGGUUUACACUUAAUUCUUGAUUACACUACUACUAUUACUUCAUGUCUGUUAAUAAUGUUUAAGAGCCCUCUUCUGCAUAUAAUUGCUAUUUGUACUCAAAGAUUCCUUCAUACAUUUGCACAAGUUUAUCCUCCUAAGAUGUUGCUCCAAUGAUAAAAUCCUGUAAUGCAUACUUAGCAAUCAGACUCUUGGAAAACUUCCUACAGUUCCUGUAAUAUAAUAAAAUCUACAUGUAAUGUUUGUUUCUGUGGUCAAGGUUCAAGCAAAAAAG
rnacentral:lncRNA from 1 species